GCGGUCUCAGGAUAGCAUGCAUGUGUAGUGAUCUCUCGUAUAGAUCAACUGCUGAUGGCUCAUUAUAUCUGUAAUUAAUAAUUUGGUCUUACACUAUGGAUAUCUUUGGUAAUUCUAAAGCUAAUACAUGAAUAAUCCUCUCUUUACGGAAGAGGAGAUUUUAUUAGAUUUGAAUCAGAGGUAGCCCAGCUACUUUUUUGAUGAAUUGCCAGUAAAACGCAUAUCGUACUUUGACGAAAAACCCUUUUUGUUUCUGACCUAUCUUCUUGCCCGGUCAGGUAUAGGCAAACCGGGGCGAUGACGGGUAACGGAGAAUUAGGGUUCGAUUCCGGAGAGGGAGCCUGAAAAAUGGCUACCACAUCUAAGGAAGGCAGCAGGCGCGCAAAUUACCCAAUCCUGGAAAAGGGAGGUAGUGACAAGAAAUAACAAUGUGAAACUUCAUUGUUUCACAAUUGGAAUGAGAGGAAAUUAAAUCUUUCCUCUAGUAUCCAUUGGAGGGC
rnacentral:rRNA from 1 species